UACGUAGGGUGCAAGCGUUGUCCGGAAUUAUUGGGCGUAAAGAGCUCGUAGGCGGUCUGUCGCGUCGGCUGUGAAAACCCGAGGCUCAACCUCGGGCCUGCAGUCGAUACGGGCAAACUAGAGUACUGCAGGGGAGACUGGAAUUCCUGGUGUAGCGGUGAAAUGCGCCGAUAUCAGGAGGAACACCGGUGGCGAAGGCGGGUCUCUGGGCAGUAACUGACGCUGAGGAGCGAAAGCGUGGGGAGCGAACAGG
rnacentral:rRNA from 1 species